UUCACGUUUGCCUGAGCAUACUCCCAGCCUCCCAGGGCCCCUUCUGUGUGCCCUGCCUCUGAUUGCAAGUGCAGAGAGCAGUUCUCCCAAGAGCCAGGGCUCAGCUCACCCCUGCAGGUCAGCAAUGUGGGUGACAGAUACUUCUUUUUGCUGUUGGAACACUUCAUAUUCAUCUCUGGUAUUGUCAUGGCCUUUGACAUACCUUACCAACAAGAGAGUCAGAGCCACAGGAUGAACUUUCUCAACCCAUCCUCUUUAAGGAAAAGAAGUUGUUGGCUGAGUCACGAGGACCUUAUGUAUGCCAAGAACAUCGUUUUUGCCUCCUUAGGUGAAACUUUAUUUCCCACAUUUAGGAUUCAUUAGGAUUAUCUAAGGCAUGGUGGCUCUUUCCUGUAAUCCCAGCUACUCAAGAGACAGAGUAGGAAGGAUCCCUUGAGUCCAGAAGUUCAAGGCUGCAGUGAGCUAUGAUGGCAGUACUGCCCUCCAGCUGGGGAAACAGAGUGAUACCUUGUCUCAAAAAAAAAAAAAAAAAAAAAAAGGAAUAAAAAUAAAAGUGUCAGUAAUUCUUACUCUUCUUCUUGGUCUGCCACCUUCUUGCCUUGGUGACUUUUGGAUCCCCCAUCCCUCUGUUUUCUCAUCUGUAAAAUUGGAAGGAUAACAGGGAGUUGCAGGGUCUACUGGGUUGCUCAUAGGCAUUUAGAGCACUCGCUGGCAUACAGUGAGCACUCUUUAAAUGCACCCAAUCUUAUUCAUAUUCUAGUCAAUACACAAAGAAUCUGCUGUGCUUUUGGAUAGAGAGAAAUGCUUCAUAACAACACCAUCACACAUUAUUGAAAAGAUUUUGGUGUGAUUAGGGCCGACUGACAUCCAAACUUCCCUCCCACCUUUCUGGUCAUAUCUCCUCCUUUUCCCACACUCAGUAUCUUUCCU
rnacentral:lncRNA from 10 species